rnacentral:rRNA from 1 species
GACAGAGGGUGCAAACGUUGUUCGGAAUUACUGGGCGUAAAGCGAGUGUAGGCGGUUUCCUAAGUCAGGUGUGAAAGCCCCGGGCUCAACCCGGGAAGUGCACUUGAAACUGGGAGGCUAGAGUAUCGGAGAGGUUGGUGGAAUUCUCGGUGUAGAGGUGAAAUUCGUAGAUAUCGAGAGGAACACCGGUGGCGAAGGCGGCCAACUGGACGAAUACUGACGCUGAGGCGCGAAAGCGUGGGGAGCAAACAGG